AAGGUGUAGACCAAUUUGAGUGGAGGCCCCCAACUUUUCAAGAUCCACAAACCACAGAAUGACUGACUACCAAUGAUAGCAGCAGGUGUGGAGUGGUGUUGACCUAAGGCUAGGAGACAUGCUGUGUGCUGGAUGGCAGAGCUGGAGAAAUGCCACAUCCAAGGAAUGAGUCCCAGGAUGGACAAUGCCAAAGCUCUAAAUUGCCUGUGCAAGCUGUAAAUACUACAACCUCCCCCAGAAGAAAUGCUUUGGAAUCUAUUUUGCUGGAUUUUCUAAUCAUAAGGCAACUGAUCCUUGAUAGGGAAAAUUAGACAUGCUUUCAAAGAAUGAGCCAACCAUCUGGAAUUAGAUUUUGAUUAUUAUGGAAAUUACUGCUCCAUGAUUAUAUAGGAUGUUGAAAAACUGGAAUGCACAAGUGUUUUGAAUGGAAAUUUCAACUGGAUCAGCCACCUGGAAAGGUUUCUCAGUCGUCUUCAAAAUGUGUAGCUAACAUUAAUGACUGUUAUCUGGUGUGAAGGCUCCGACCUACAAGCCCAGCAUUUAGGAAACUGAGACAGGAGUACUGUAUGGAAUUAUAGGCAAAACUGAAUUCCAGGCUACCUUGGGUUACAGAGUAACACCCCAACUCAAAACAAAAAGAAACAGCAAAUUAGUGACCUAAAUGCGUGGUAAGCACCUCCCAAUAUGAAUGAGAAUGUGAAAAAAAGUUUUUAUAGAUCAUUUUAGAAUCCUGAACUGUCCUAAAUAAUAUUGAUUUAUGACUG